UUCCCUUUAUUCAACAUGCUGUCAUUAGACUAUAAUCUACUGUCUCUACUGUUUGUCUCUACUCUAACAGGUGUCAGCUGUGAACAACUGACUCCAGUCAAGGAUGAAGAGUUCAGUUCAGAAGGCAGCUCUGUUACUCUGUCCUACACAUACUCCAAAAAAGCAACUAAUGAAAAUUUCUUCUGGUAUCAACAACAUCCAGGAAAACCACCACAGCUCCUCAUCUCUCACACAGAGAAAGGAGAAAUCUUAAAUCCAGGCUCUGGACUGACGGUUACUGUGAGUCGGGAUCAAACCCAAAUGGAUCUGCAGAUCUCCUCUGCUGCAGUGACAGACUCUGCUGUGUACUACUGUGCUGUGAGGCCCACAGUGACAGGAAACAGCACAACUCUGUACAAAAACACAAGCUGA